rnacentral:guide_RNA from 1 species
AUAUAUACGGCAAUACAAUAUACGUGGGAUAUCGAGACUGUGUAAUUAUAGU